UUUCCGGUUGAUCCUGCCGGAGGCCACUGCUAUGGGGGUCCGACUAAGCCAUGCGAGUCAUGGGGCGCCUUGCGCGCACCGGCGGACGGCUCAGUAACACGUCGGUAACCUACCCUCGGGAGGGGGAUAACCCCGGGAAACUGGGGCUAAUCCCCCAUAGGCCUGAGGUACUGGAAGGUCCUCAGGCCGAAAGGGGCUCUGCCCGCCCGAGGAUGGGCCGGCGGCCGAUUAGGUAGUUGGUGGGGUAACGGCCCACCAAGCCGAAGAUCGGUACGGGCCAUGAGAGUGGGAGCCCGGAGAUGGACACUGAGACACGGGUCCAGGCCCUACGGGGCGCAGCAGGCGCGAAACCUCCGCAAUGCGGGCAACCGCGACGGGGGGACCCCCAGUGCCGUGGCAUCGCCACGGCUUUUCCGGAGUGUAAAAAGCUCCGGGAAUAAGGGCUGGGCAAGGCCGGUGGCAGCCGCCGCGGUAAUACCGGCGGCCCGAGUGGUGGCCGCUAUUAUUGGGCCUAAAGCGUCCGUAGCCGGGCCCGUAAGUCCCUGGCGAAAUCCCACGGCUCAACCGUGGGGCUUGCUGGGGAUACUGCGGGCCUUGGGACCGGGAGAGGCCGGGGGUACCCCUGGGGUAGGGGUGAAAUCCUAUAAUCCCAGGGGGACCGCCAGUGGCGAAGGCGCCCGGCUGGAACGGGUCCGACGGUGAGGGACGAAGGCCAGGGGAGCGAACCGGAUUAGAUACCCGGGUAGUCCUGGCUGUAAAGGAUGCGGGCUAGUGUCGGGCGAGCUUCGAGCUCGCCCGGUGCCGAAGGGAAGCCGUUAAGCCCGCCGUCUGGGGAGUACGGCCGCAAGGCUGAAACUUAAAGGAAUUGGCGGGGGAGCACUACAAGGGGUGGAGCGUGCGGUUUAAUUGGAUUCAACGCCUGG
rnacentral:rRNA from 1 species